UACAGAGGUCCCAAGCGUUGUUCGGAUUCAUUGGGCGUAAAGGGUGCGUAGGCGGCGCGGUAAGUCGGGUGUGAAAUCCCUCGGCUUAACCGAGGAACUGCCCUCCAAACUGCUUUGCUUGAGGCCGGGAGAGGCGAGUGGAAUUCCCAGUGUAGCGGUGAAAUGCGUAGAUAUUGGGAGGAACACCAGUGGCGAAGGCGGCUACCUGGACCGGAACUGACGCUGAGGCGCGAAAGCGUGGGUAGCAAACAGG
rnacentral:rRNA from 1 species